AACCACCCCCUGGAGUGCUUGGAGUUCCGGGGUCAAUGGUAGGAGUAGGUGGUGUUUCAAUGAUUGGAGUAGUUGGGGUAGUAGGUGUAGGGGAAGGAUAGUAACCACCACCCCCUGGAGUGCUUGGAGUACCAGGGUCAACGGUAGGCGUAGGUGGUGUUUCAAUGGUAGGUGUAGAGGGGGUGGUAGGUGUAGGUGUAGGCGAAGGAUAGUAGCCACCACCACCUGGAGUGCUUGGAGUUCCGGGGUCAGCGGUAGGAGUAGGUGGUGUUUCAAUAGUAGGUGCGGAGGGAGUGGAUGGUGUACUAGGGGUACUAGGUGUAGGAGUACUUGGAGUCGGGGAAGGAUAGUAGCCACUUCCACCCCCUGGAGUACUUGGAGUGCCAGGGUCUGGAGUUGGGGUUACAACAGGUGUAGAGGGGGUGGAUGGUGUACUAGGGGUACUAGGUGUUGGAGUACUAGGAGGGCUUCCUCCACCAUGAUGAGCUGGUGGAGAGGGAGAAUAACCACCACCUCCAUGACCGCCUGAUGGAGGAGAUGGGGUAGG
rnacentral:lncRNA from 1 species